GGAUUCUUGUCGGAGUGCCUAGCGUCGGCUUUUAACAGCAAACGCAGGCUGAGACCGUUAAUUCGGGAUCCGCGGAACCUGAUCGGGUUAGUACCCGCGAAGGGAACAAGAGUAAUUUAUCG
rnacentral:ncRNA from 2 species